rnacentral:rRNA from 1 species
CCUACGGGGGACAGCAGUGAGGAAUAUUGGUCAAUGGCCGGAAGGCUGAACCAGCCAUGCCGCGUGAAGGUCAGUGCCCUAUGGGCGUUAAACUUCUUUUGUGCGGGAGCAAUAAUGGUCACGUGUGGCCAGACGAUAGUACCGUACGAAUAAGCAUCGGCUAACUCCGUGCCAGCCGCCGCCGUAAUACUGGGGAUGCAAGCGUUAUCCGGAUUUAUUGGGUUUAAAGGGUGCGUAGGCUGGGAGGUAAGUCAGCUGUGAAAUGCCUCCGCUCAACGGGGUGAAGUGCCAUUGAUACUGCCAUGCUGGAAUGCAGAUGCGGUGGGAGGAAUGUGUGGUGUAGCGGUGAAAUGCAUAGAUAUCACACAGAACACCGAUUGCGAAGGCAUCUCACGAAUCCGCGAUUGACGCUGAUGCACGAAAGCGUGGGUAUCAAACAGGAUUAGAUACCCUUGUAGUC